CUGUUGCAUUUUAAAUACUUAAACGAUAAUUAAUUAUAAUUGUUCGUAUACUUAUUUAUUUUAAAUAAUAUCUGACAUUAUGAAUAUUGUGUUUAAUUUGUAUGAAAGUUGGAAUUUUGUGUAAAGUUUAUUAUUUCAUAAUUUUUUUUGUGCAUAUUUAGUUAGUUAUAUCUAUAAUAUAUGAAGCUGUAAUUUUUGGAUGUACUGACUGUUAUUUAUUUACCAAUCAAGUCAAAUACACAUUAUUUAUUCGUUCUCGUUAUUAUUUAUUCAGGAAAUUGUAAAAGUUCAAAUAAGCAUAUUGUACACAUAUUUCAAAAGAAUGUUGAAUUAAAAAUUUUUUCAUAAUAUAACCGCAAACAUAAAUGAAUGAAUUUUUAUCUGGAGUUUCUAAAUCUCUAUAAUCAAUUGGUCUAAUGGAAAAGGCUGUUGGUUUCUUAAAUUGAAAAGGAUAAUUAUUUGAAAAAUUUUUGUUAACAUCUAAAUCUGAUUGAAUUGGAAUUUGAGUAUAUAAAAACUGAUAAGGUGUUGGAUUUGUAUUGUCUACAUUUUUCUGUCGAAUAGUACAAAAUAAGUUUUCAAGGCAAUCUUGGUUUAUUCUUCCAAUAUAAAAUUUUAGUCUAAUGUGGGAGGUCAAAAAUAUAAGUAAUUUUUUUUUCACUAACAUAAAAAAAGGAUGGACUGGAGUUACAUUAACUGUAUUACUAAAACUAACAAAAUUAGAACCCAUAUCUGUACAAAGGCUUUGACAUUUAAUCCAAAUUGAAAAAGUUUUUGAAUUAUGGUAAAAAUAAUAUCUUGUAGUUCAAAUCCGGUACAACUAUAGUCUUACCUAUUUCCUUAAUUUUCCGUUUUUCAGAUUGUGGUUUUGUCUUUAAUUUCAGUUACCUUGGAGUAUUAUUUGAUAAGUAUAAUGGAGUUUGAAUGAUCAAAUCACUUGAUGAUGCAGAAGAUUCAUAACCACUUUGAUCAACCUAUGCACUCUAUGAUAGGAAAGUCGAAGGUCCAGAAGUUGAACAUCAUUCUAUGAUUUCCUGCUAUCUUUGAAAAAUUUUGUUAUCUAAAAUUAAAUAAAAAAUUUUUGUGAAUAAUACUAACACUGUUAAUAGUAUUAAUUUUUUUAUAAAAUUUGAAUUAUUUUAGAUAUAAUAAAUUUUACAAUUUUUAUUUUUAA